AACGAACGCUGGCGGCAGGCCUAACACAUGCAAGUCGAGCGAGGACUUCGGUCCUAGCGGCGGACGGGUGAGUAACGCGUGGGAACGUGCCCUUUGCUUCGGAAUAGCCCUGGGAAACUGGGAGUAAUACCGGAUGAGCCCUUUGGGGGAAAGAUUUAUCGGCGAAGGAUCGGCCCGCGUUGGAUUAGGUAGUUGGUGGGGUAAUGGCCUACCAAGCCGACGAUCCAUAGCUGGUUUGAGAGGAUGAUCAGCCACACUGGGACUGAGACACGGCCCAGACUCCUACGGGAGGCAGCAGUGGGGAAUCUUAGACAAUGGGGGAAACCCUGAUCUAGCCAUGCCGCGUGAGCGAUGAAGGCCUUAGGGUUGUAAAGCACUUUCAGCUGGGAAGAUAAUGACGGUACCAGCAGAAGAAGCCCCGGCUAACUCCGUG
rnacentral:rRNA from 1 species